rnacentral:tRNA from 1 species
GCCUGGGUGGCUCAGUCGGUUAAGCGUCUGAUUUCAGCUCAGGUCACGAUCUCACGGUCCGUGAGUUCGAGCCCCGCGUCGGGCU